AUAUCUGUAUAAACAAUUUUAUCUCCGUAAUUAUAAAGUGUUUUGGGAUGGUGUUCAAGGCACUAUAUAAAAUAAAAGUUGACUGUUUGUUACUAAAAAUGACAACAACAAAAAAGAUUACAGAGACAUUAAGUGAGUUUGUGCAAAUUUAUUUGCAUUCAAAUGCCGAUAAAGCACAGGCUACAGUUUGUCACAGCAGAACUUUUUGAAAACAAAUGGCUAAACAGACAAAGGAAAGAGACAGGAGUAAACACUAGAUAAAGACAUGUGACCUCACGUCAGCCCCAGCCUCUGACGUGCCUCUUCUGGCCCCUAAGCAGAUAAAGAUUGGCCUCAGUGUCAGUUAUGUUAUGUCCAAGGAAGAAGGUACAUUGACUGAUUAGCCCUCCCAAAUGGCCACCCACAAAGCCCAGUCUAAG